rnacentral:rRNA from 1 species
AUUGAACGCUGGCGGCAGGCCUAACACAUGCAAGUCGAACGAGUGGCGGACGGGUGAGUAAUGUCUGGGAAACUGCCUGAGGGAGGGGGAUAACUACUGGAAACGGUAGCUAAUACAGCAUACCAUCCAAAGUGCCCAGAGGGGAUGAGCUCGUUGGUGGGGUAACGGCUAACCAAGGAGACGAACCCUAGCUGGUCUGAGAGGAUGACCAGCCACACUGGAACUGAGACACGGUCCAGACUCCUACGGGAGGCAGCAGUGGGGAAUAUUGCACAAUGGGCGCAAUCCUGAUGCAGCCAUGCCGCGGGUAUGAAGAAGGCCUUCGGGUUGUAAAGUACUGUCAGCGGGGAGGCGUUACCCGCAGAAGAAGCACCGGCUAACUCCGUGCCAGCCGCCGCGGUAAUUC